GAGCCGACCUUGAAAUACCACCCUUUAAUGUUUGAUGUUCUAACGUGGACCCGUAAUCCGGGUUGCGGACAGUGUCUGGUGGGUAGUUUGACUGGGGCGGUCUCCUCCUAAAGAGUAACGGAGGAGCACGAAGGUUGGCUAAUCCUGGUCGGACAUCAGGAGGUUAGUGCAAUGGCAUAAGCCAGCUUGACUGCGAGCGUGACGGCGCGAGCAGGUGCGAAAGCAGGUCAUAGUGAUCCGGUGGUUCUGAAUGGAAGGGCCAUCGCUCAACGGAUAAAAGGUACUCCGGGGAUAACAGGCUGAUACCGCCCAAGAGUUCAUAUCGACGGCGGUGUUUGGCACCUCGAUGUCGGCUCAUCACAUCCUGGGGCUGAAGUAGGUCCCAAGGGUAUGGCUGUUCGCCAUUUAAAGUGGUACGCGAGCUGGGUUUAGAACGUCGUGAGACAGUUCGGUCCCUAUCUGCCGUGGGCGCUGGAGAACUGAGGGGGGCUGCUCCUAGUACGAGAGGACCGGAGUGGACGCAUCACUGGUGUUCGGGUUGUCAUGCCAAUGGCACUGCCCGGUAGCUAAAUGCGGAAGAGAUAAGUGCUGAAAGCAUCUAAGCACGAAACUUGCCCCGAGAUGAGUUCUCCCUGAGACUUAGAGUCUCCUGAAGGAACGUUGAAGACGACGACGUUGAUAGGCCGGGUGUGUAAGCGCAGCGAUGCGUUGAGCUAACCGGUACUAAUGAACCGUGAGGCUUAACCUUAC
rnacentral:rRNA from 1 species